CCCGCGAAGCCCCGGGGGGACAGAGCAGGGAGGGGGGCCGGGUUUCAAGUCAGGAAGAAAGUGGCUCCCCCACCCCUCCCCGCUCCACCUCCCUCCUCCCCGCCCGCCUCCCUUCUUCCUUACCUCUCCCGAUCCUCCUCCUCCUCCCCCAGCCCCGCUCCAGCCGGCCCCGCCGGCCCCUCACGCCAUGGCGGCGGCAGCGGGGGCGCUCGGCGGGGACGGGGACGGGGAUCCGGGACGGGGAUCCGGGACGGGGAUCCGAGAUGGGGAUCCGGGACGGGGAUUUGGGACGGGGAUCCGGGAUGGGGAUCUGGGACGGGGAUCGCGCCGGGCACCGCGCUGCCCGCCGCCGCCGCGGCUCCGAGCGAGGCACGCAGCCUGGAAGCCCGGGACCUUUUAUAAUUCCCAGUUUAUCAAUCUGCUCUUUUAAACACAGUGUGGCUGUUUAUAUAAAAUGUUCCCCGCGCAAAAGACAAAAUCGUGAAACACCGUUGUCAUUUGAGCCAGGUCAUCCUGACAUCUUUUACAGCCAUUCGAUUGAAGAUACUAAGGAGGACAUGAAGAAGGAGCAAGCCCCAUUGCUGUGAUCAGGCAGUGAGAAAGAAACACAGGGGGCAAUAUGAUGACAGYGAUGUAGGGCUCAUCCUUUCCAAAAGUGACAAGAAAUGUCUGCCAACACUUGGUACGUACUUUUAAAGCCUCUGAUUCUCAGUUAGUUGUGAAAAUGUGGGGAUUUUUCCUUUUUCUUUCUUUGUGACUGAGGAUAUUUGCCUAAAGAGGGAAGCUUUCAGUCUGUUUCACACACGCAACCUUGACCAUUCUUGCCUUCCUGGCUGCCCAGCCUAAGCAACAGCACCUUUUUUUCUCCUUUUAUUUUUCUCUGGGUUUUUCUCAAGUACCUCCCUAUGACUGAAGUCCUGUUCUCUGUGCAAUCUGCUCAGUCUCUAGUUUCUAUGUAAGAGACACUUUCACUUUUAUCAUGAAGUUCCAAAACUCUUCAAAUGAAAAAAUAGAAAAGUCUCCAGCUUCUUUCACUAAUUCUCCAAAAUAAUUGUUUUCCUUAGGACUGUAAACCUUGUGUUUCCUUUGUCCAUCAUGUYCAGCUGUGAUGAUAUUUGAUUACGUCUUAGCAUUGUGGGCUGAAACCUUUAAGACAAGAGCAUUAGGCCAGUCUCUUCUUGUACUACGAUUGCAUAUCUGGAUAUUUGCGUAAUGCUCACCCUGCCCUGCUUGAUCUGGGCUGCUCUCCCCAGCUGUUCCCCCUGGACUGUGUCAGUGCCACAUGAAGGCAGCUCCAGUUUUCAAAACUUGUCUUAAUUCCAGCCUCAUCUGGGGGAAUUUUGGCCUUCUGCUCUUUUCCAGGGAGGGUGUGGACCAGACAGUGUCCUAACUUGUUGUUACUACUGUGUCCUCUGAGUUUAUGAGCGUGUUGCAUGAUUCAUACCAUUUACUACUUAGRGAUUUUGGGCCCUGGCUCACUCUGCAGGCAGUGGGCAGAAAUAGUCACAAUUCCAAAAUUAGGUACCUUUAAGGAGUGGCCUGAAAUUAACCCUGAGUAUCAGAACGGGUUAGAAAUCGGGGAAUCUUUUGUGGUGCAAAGCCAUUUCCCUCACAAAGAGAAAAACUAGUCUGCCAGUUUCCUAUGGGUCUGUCAGGUGCAAGGUACAUCCAUGGGACUGGAAGAAGGCUUAACUCCAACAGAUGUUCUGUCAUUCCUCUGUCUUCUGCUACACAUACGCGUACUGAAAAUGCUGCUCUUUACCGCAGAUGUAGUCUUUUACUCCUCCACAUUGUGGCAGCCAAAGCAGCAGUAGGGUAGCUGGAAGGGGAAAACACUAGAUGUGUUUCCUAAACAGCUCUUCUUUAUAUGUAAAUGGAACAUCUUUCUCUGCUUUACAUUUCCUUUCUUUCUCUCUUCCUUGCACGCACCAUGUGUUUAGCCUGGUUUAGCCUGAGGCCAGCAGACAGAAAGUCAGAUGAGAAAAAAAAUUCCCGCAGAUUUCUGAGUGAAUGGGAAACUGCAGCAUCAGUAACCUCAGCAAGGGGAAGUAAAACACUGGUGAGGGAAGACAGAUUCAUGGUCUUGAAUAUUUCAGGAGGAGAGCAAUCAUAAAGCAGGUACAUAGGUGCUCACUGCCCUAGACCCAAUAAAAAAUUACAUAUAUCAUCUAGUCUAUGCCUA
ensembl:lncRNA